UCCGGUUUGUCACCGGCAGUCUCAUUAGAGUGCCCAACUUAAAUGUAGCAACUAAUGACAAGGGUUGCGCUCGUUGCGGGACUUAACCCAACAUCUCACGACACGAGCUGACGACAGCCAUGCAGCACCUGUGUUACGGCUCCCUUUCGGGCACGCCUCCCUCUCGAGAGGCUUCCGUACAUGUCAAGGGUAGGUAAGGUUUUUCGCGUUGCAUCGAAUUAAUCCACAUCAUCCACCGCUUGUGCAGGUCCCCGUCAAUUCCUUUGAGUUUUAACCUUGCGGCCGUACUCCCCAGGCGGAUAACUUAAUGCGUUAGCUGCGCCACCUAGGCUCCAAGAGCCCAGACAGCUAGUUAUCAUCGUUUACGGCGUGGACUAC
rnacentral:misc_RNA from 1 species